CCCUGCCUUUUGUACACACCGCCCGUCGCUACUACCGAUGGAGUGUUUUAGUGAGGCCUCGGGACUGGCUUUGACUGGCAUUGCCUGAUAAGCUGGGAACUUGGUCAAACUUGAAUACUUAGAGGAAGUAAAAGUCGUAACAAGGUUUCC
rnacentral:rRNA from 1 species